rnacentral:rRNA from 1 species
UACGUAGGGCGCAAGCGUUGUCCGGAAUUAUUGGGCGUAAAGAGCUCGUAGGCGGCCUGUUGCGUCCGCUGUGAAAUCCCGGGGCUCAACCCCGGGCCUGCAGUGGAUACGGGCUGGCUAGAGGCAGGCAGGGGAGAACGGAAUUCCUGGUGUAGCGGUGAAAUGCGCAGAUAUCAGGAGGAACACCGGUGGCGAAGGCGGUGCUCUGGGCCUGUACUGACGCUGAGGUGCGAAAGCGUGGGGAGCAAACAGG